GAAAACUCAGAAGAAAACUACCAGGUAACCUAAUUUCUCUCUUCCACUCGCUCGCGCUACCAAUGCUAGAUUUCCGAUUCCAUCGCUUUGUAGAUUUAUGUGCAUGCCGUAGUUAUGUCUUGAUCUUCAUUCUCUUUCGUCUUCGCCAUUCUAGCCUUCGUAUGCCGUUUAGUUUUUUCCUUUAUUUUUUACUUUCCUUGGAAUAAUUGAGUUAUGCGAGGGAUUUUUUUGUCGCUUUCGCUUCGUAGAUCUGCAUGACCAUAUUCAUCUCAAUGUUGCGGCUGUUCUUCAAAUUUUUAUUUCAUAACUUUCGUGUAACGAUCGCAUAGCGGAGUGGAUAUCGCGUUAGACUCCGAAUCUAAAGGUCGUGGGUUCGAAUCCCACUGCGAUCGCUUUUUUUAUUUAUUUUACGUUGAAAUUUUAAAGCCUAUAUUUGUUCUGUUCCUGAUAAUUCUGAAAUAGUUCGCCAUUUUUAUGAUGUACAAACUUUUUCCUCACAAAUAAUUUCCGCACAAAAAGCUUGUUGAGUUAUUAGAGCUAAUGAUCUUGUUUUUUUGCACGGCUUAUAAAAUAUUGGCCUGUUACUCGGCUCAUUUAUGAAUAUCCUGUAUAUGCCUAUAUGCAUUGCAUAACUGUGAAAUGAUUCAACUGGGAAGAAUUGAAAGACUGCAAAAGGUGGACCAAGGUUUGCUCGUUUAAGUAAGGUGUAAGGAAAUUUUUGGUUGCCAAAUAUUGUUGGUGACUCUUUUACUCUUUAUAGUUGUAGAUGGUGAAUUCUGAAUGUAAGCCUUAAUGUUUUCGUGCUCCACUUGGAUGAUGUGACCCUUAAAUAAUUAAAUUUGUGGUUUGUUGGUAUUAGGACUUCAUGUUAAGAAAUCAUUUGGAUAAAACUUAGACAUAGUUCCUUAAAUGCUUUUGGUUCUCUUCUCCCAUUAGUUGGUGUUUCACCUGUAAUAAAGGUUUGCAUUAAAUAUCUGUUUUAAUCACACACAUUUCAUGAAAAAUAAAAUAAAAAUUAUAUUUAAUUUUCAAUUCAUUUUAAUCAUAGGACAAAUAUUGUAAUUUUAUAAUCUUAUAAAUUAAAUUCCUUUAUUAAUCACAAUUAUAUGUUACUAUGUUACCGAAGUGGUACUUUAAUUCUAGUAUACGAAUAACUCCAAGAGCAUAUGAUAAACUGUUUCUGACUUUUGUCAAGAUCAAAAGAUCUUGUGAAGAAGCAUCUUGUUGAACUAUUUCUCUAUAUUAAGUUGGAUCAAGCAUGCUAAACAAUGUUGUAGAAUUUUGCGGCUAGUUGAUGUCUUCAAUUUUCAUUUAUGUGCUUGUUGGCUUAUGAUAAAAACUACAGAUUAUGAAUUUUGGUUUAUAGUUAGCUAAAGUAAUAGAUGUGAUGCUUCUUUAUGCGCAUCUUCUCCCUAUCUUAUGGAGCUUGCAUGUCUUUUUAUUAAGUACUGUUUAUAUGAGGUCAUUCAACUGCAAGGUUACAAAAUGAUGACUCUAAAUAUCUUGAAAUAGCGAACAUCCUUAUCAGAGGUUUGAUGACCAUUGCGUAAUUUUCCUUUGGCCUUGCCAUACGUCGGGUGACUCUAAAAAGUUCUUGCAACAUGGGGUGCCAGUAUGUGGAUAUGCAUAAUAGUUAGUGUUUUUGUCGUGUUAGGUAGAGUAAUGAUCUUGAUGUGGUGUUAGUGAAAGUCUAGAAAACAUCUCCUGAAAAUGUCCUGAUAUAGCAGUGGAUCAUUCCAGUAUUUGCAUUGUGAUAGAUAAUACUAGUGAGCAUCUAUCAUGCUUCAUUAGUUAGGUGUUUACUGAUAAUGUUGGAAGAUAAGAAGAGUCUUUUCCAUGAAAUUGUACACUGAGGUCCAACUUGAAUGGUCGAAGAGUGUAGUAUACUAGCAAUCAAGCUCAAUCAGGACCGUGUUUGUUCAAGUAUUUAUUAGUGCUCAGUUGUAAAUUUUGGAACUUUGCUUUUGCGAGUUCCGGUGCUUAACAAAAACAUAGUCUUGCUUUGGAUUGCGAGCUUUUAGGGAAAAUGGGCAAGCCCAUGGCAUGGAUAUAUUUGGAUGCCAUCGUUAUAAUUGUUGUUUUGGCGUUUAGCCACCUCUAAAACGUAAGUUUGGCAUUUAGUAGCUCAGUUUUAAAGUUUGUUGCCGAAAACUGGCCUUAUAUAAUAGUUCAAAUGGAAGGGGUUUGGAUUUUUUUUUUAUUUGGGUUUGAUUUCAAAAUUUUAGUAUGUAAAGGAAAUAAUAUUAGGAGAAUUUUUUUCUUAAUGACUUCCUGAGUGAGGAUGAUUUGGAAAUAAAAUACAACUUCAAUCUGGUCUCGUCUAUAAGCAUCUUAAUGUUCUACCACUAAUGUUAGUGGGAGAAUAUGAUGCAAUCAAGUCAAUGAUGUUUUUUGUACAGUGAUUGUUACCAUGCCAUGCUUGAUGGAGAAGCACGAUUAAGUAUCAAUUUCUGGUGGUCCCAUGCAGCAACAAACAUCCCUUGUUUUGUUCUAAAGUUGAUGUAAACGGGAAAUGAUGAGUUUAAAAAUAAAUAAAUAUAUAUAUAAUAAAUAACAAAUUUGUAAUUAAAUGAUAUAAAAAAUAUUAAAAUAAUAAUAUUAAAAAUUGUAAUGGGG
rnacentral:lncRNA from 1 species